ensembl:lncRNA
GCUGUCAUUUCCUGAUUUUUGCUUUUACAGGAAGGACCAUCUAAGUAAAAGAGGGUUUUUUUUUUCCCUUUCAUAAUAAAUCCAUAUAUACUAUGUCACAUCUACGAGGACACCAUGGAUAAAUCUCAUUGUAUAUAAAUCUCCUAUCUGAUCUGACUCAACAUGUGACCUGGGUGUUACUAAGCCCUGGUGUCCUGGACUCCAGUUCUGCAUUCAAUUAUUCUUUUGGCAAAUGCCAUAUGGUCCAGGUCCCUGCAAAUAUAAAAGAAUCCAGAUGGUCAUGUGACAAGGAAAUCACAAAUAUGCCCUUUCCAUCCGUUAUUAGCCUGAGGCACAAAACAAGAGUCACCCAAGAUUUUCUGUAACAGGUGACAGAGUACACCAUUUUGGCUUCAUGGGCCUUAGGAUCUCUUUGGCAGCUGCACAACCCUUUUGCUGCAGUGUGAAAACGUCCAUAGAUGAUAAAGGAACGUGUGAGGCUCGAUUUUCAUUAAAACGUUAUUUACAUAAACAGGCAAGCGGCCACUGUUGGCCCAGGGGUUGUAGCUUGGAGACCUAAAGCCCAGAAUUCUGUUUUCCUCACUAAUAUACUGUUGUUGAUUAAUCCAACAACAACCUAUCUAUGGCCUUACCACCCCGAACACACCCUAAUCCAACAACAACAAUAACAAAAAGAAGUGCUCUCUUUUUAAUACUAUCUUUCUUAGCAAAUGUAUACAUCGCCACAACAACCCAGCAAAACAAGAACUAAGCUUAGUUAACUACUCUGCUUACUACCACCAAACCUUCCAAAUGAAGCGUUGGAUUUAGCAGUUUUAGACAUCUGAGUCUGUGUUUGAGUCGGGAUGGGUUGGGUUGGGUUGCAAUAAUAAGCAAUCCCCAAAUCUCACCAAUUCAAACCGACACAUAUCUAUUUCUUCCUUAGAGAAAGUCCAGGUGAUUCUCCAGGUCCAUUGACCUCCCUGCCUCUGUCCACUCCAGUCUGGUUGGAUCUUAUGCCACCUCUGCAUCAAUACACUUCUCCCAUUUUCCCCAAAUAAGAGGAGUCUAGGAGUUCCCAUCGCGGCUCAGUGGGUAAUAAACCUGACUAGCAUCCACCAGGAUGCAGGUUUGAUCCCUGGCCUCACUUAGUGGGUUAAGGAUUCAGUGUGCCGUGAGCUGUGGUGUAGGUCGCAGAUGCAGCUCUGAUUCUGAGUUGCUGUGGCUGUUGCAUAGGUCAGGAGCUACAUAGCUCCAAUUCAACCCCUAGCCUGGGAACAUCCAUAUGCUGAAGGUGCAGCCCUAAAAAUACAAAAAAAAAAAAAAAUCGGAAAAUUCUGAGGGUGGGGUCUGCGAGCUGAAUUUCCAUCACUCCCUGGGAACAAUGGGGUCUGGUGAUGACAUUCCAAGCAGGAAGUGGUACCCCAUGAAGAUUCCAGCAUGAUUCUACAUGGAGAGACAGACAUCAGCUCCCCAUUACACUGGUCCCAAAAUGCACAGGACUACUUAUAUAUUAACCUGAAGAGGAUACGGAAAUGGACUUUAUACCUUUGAUAGGAUAGAGAAGAAGCAUGUCCACUGGGAGAUACUUGUAACACUCCCUCAAUCCAGCCUUGGUUGACUUCAAAGACUUGGCUGCCUUCUUUAGUGGCUACACUGCUUAUCCUGCUGACAGGAGGAAAUGAGAUCUGACCCCAUCCCAUGAGUGGGGAGCGCUGCCCUUCCAGCCCUUCCCUGGGCGCGUUCUUCCCUGAGGCUGCAUCCCUGCCUCCUAUCCUGUUGCUAGGCAAAAUGUGUUACUUAUGGGCCCAGCAUCAGCACCACUUGGAGCUCGUAGAAAUACAGCAUCUCAGGGUCUACUCCAGACCAAGUGAGUCAGACACCCCAGGUAAACAAGAUCCUUUGGCGACUUGCACAGACAUUAAAAGAUGAAAAGCACAGAGUUCUCUGAUGGCCUAGAGGUUAACAAUCUGGCAUUGUCACUGCUGUGGUGCAGGUUCGCUCCCUGGCCCAGGAACUUCCACAUGCCGUGGGAGAGGCCAAAAUAUAAAUAAAUUGAAAGCAAACAAAUUGAUAAAUAAAGGAGGAAAAUCAAGCUCUAAUCCUCCACACAUACAACAGACGACCACCUGUGGAGAAACUGUCCCGCCAUGAAGUUGCCAAAAAGGACCCUCGAUUUUCCCCCACAGCCUGAUUUCACCAUGGCAGGUCCUUCAGCAACCAGACUUGAGGUCUAUGGAGUCAACUCCAUCCAAGGGGACCAUAACCCUAUAUUCCAUGUAGAUGAUAUACAUAAACAUAUAGAUGCAUGCAUAUGUGAUUCAUGAGCUAUCGUGUGUGUGUAUAUAUGUACAUACACACACACACACACAUAUAUACACACACACACAAUAGUUCAUGAUAAUGGUGUUUUCUUUUUAAACAGAUGUAAUUUUUUCUGUGACGAAGAAGCAGGUAUUACCAAAUUUAACAUGUCUUCAUACACUACGAUAUUGAAAUGUAAUCAUUUAAUUUCAGACCAUUAAUCUUUUGUAUUUUAUUUCAAAGGAUGGCCAGUAAAUGCCAUGUAAUCAUUUCUAGGCAU